rnacentral:rRNA from 1 species
GCCUAAACAUGCAAGUCGAGCGGAACAAAGAAACUUGGUUCUGGGUGGAAGAGGGGGGGAGGGGAGAAAAAUGUGUGUAAACUUGCUUUAAGAAUGGGAAUAAUUCCUGAAAACGGUACUUAUACCCGAUAAUUGCUUGAACAACCGCAUGGUUCCAGAAUGAAAGACGGUUUGGCCUGUCACCAUCAGAUGUGCCCACGUCGCAUUAGCUAGUAGGUGAGGUAACGGCUCACCUAGGCGACGAUCCGUAGCCGGCCUGAGAGGGUGAUCGGCCACACUGGGACUGAGACACGGCCCAGACUCCUACGGGAGGCAGCAGUAGGGAAUAUUCCGCAAUGGGCGCAAGUCUGACGGAGCCACGCCGCGUGAGUAAUGAAGGCCUUCGGGUUGUAAAGCUCUUGUUGUUAGGGAAGAACAAGUGCAAGAGUAUAACCUUGCACCUUGACGGUACCGCACAGAAAGCCACGGCUAACUCCGUGCCAGCAGCCGCGGUAAUACGUAGGGGGCAAGCGUUGUCCGGAAUUAUUGGGCGUAAAGGGCUCGCAGGCGGUUUGUUAAGUCGGAUGUGAAAGCCCCCGGCUCAACCUGGGAGGGUCAUUGGAAA